UCCUCUAUGUGCUUCUCCCUCUCUCUUUUUCCUUCCUCCUUUUUCUUCUUUCAUUUUACUUUAUCACAUUCUGGCCUGUUCGCUCUACCAUCUUACAACUUGGGUGGUGAUGGAAUUACCCUGGGGCUUUGGGGGCUCCCCGGUGUAAACAAAGAGCUGUUGUCAGUGUGAUGUGCAUUUUGGCAUUGAUAGAAUGCAGGCCACAGAGUUUGCAGUAACACAGCUGUUGACCUUUAGUAGCUCCGGACUCUGGAAAUCCACUGAAGCUAGACAGCCAUUCCCUAGCCCAGAACUAGGUCGUGCAGAGAACAGUUGAGGCUCCUCAGGCUGCGGACAGGGCCCUUCUCAAGGCACAAGGAGGAUCUUGCAGAGCCCAUGACUUAGAACCAAUGCACAGUCAGGCUUCAUGGAAAACAGGCAGCAAUUACAAAGCAUGGGGGGAAUGGAGGCCCUUAAUCUGAGAUGCUGAUCAGUUGAGCUCAACCUCUCUCUCUUUUUUUUUUUUUUUUGGUGAGACAAGGUCUCCCUCUGUCACCCAGGCUGGUGUGCAGUGGCAAGGUCAUGGCUCACUGCAGCCUAGACUUCCUGGGCUCUAAAGAUCCUCCCACUUCAGCCUCCCGAGUAGCUGAGACUACAAGCGUCUGUCACCAAGCCCAGCUAAUUUUUGUAUUUUUUGUAGAGAUGAGGGCUUUGCCGUGUUGCCCAGGCUAGCCUCGAACUCGUGAGUUCAAGCAAUUUGCUCGCCCCGGCCUCCCAAAGUGCUAGAAUUACAGACAUGAGCCACUGUACCUGGAAUCCCCCGCCUCUCUUUCCCUCCAUCUGUCUCUCUCUCUCUCAAUCACACACACACACACACACACACACACACACACACGCUCACACACCACCUCUGUCUCACUUUGCUUCCUCUCACUUCCUCCUGGGCCAGCCCCAUUACUCUCAGCAUCUCACCGCCCUCUUUGCACACCUGCUCCAUUCUCUCUCCUGCUCUGCUUCUGGCUUACUCAUGCUCUCUGCUCCCUAACACCCUUCUUGCAAAGGGUCCCAACUGGAUGCCCAAUUCCUGAAUCCACAAGACUGCUCAGUCUCAGUAUUUAUCCCCAAACACAAGUCUUUUUCUGUGUCUUUCAGUUCACAUUUUUGAGAGCUGAACCACACAGGAGUCCACUGCUGGCCCCACUACCUUUGACUGGUGGUGGAGCCAUGGGCGCUAUGGACAGGGAUCCCCAGCCUGCAAGCCAGCAUGGGCAGGAUGCCUGGAUGCAAUAUUUGUGGUGCUGUUAAGAUUCUGCAGGGUGGUUUGACUGCAUCAGGGCCAUUCUAAGUUAAAUGGCUUACUCUGAAUCAUCGAACUCAGGAUGAUUACUUCCUCCUUGUUUUAACAGAGAACUCAGGUUGUACAGGAACUCAGGAAUUCUCCUGCCUAGUUCCUGAAGCAAAAUGAAACCUUCCAACAAAGCUGAAAAGAAGCACGUGUAUCUGCUUUGCCUGACUGCCCACCAGAGCUCGUUUCUCCACUGAUCGAUUGGGGCUCGCAGCAACAUGCUGGCCCCAGGGAUGCACACAAGCCACGGCUGAGAAAGGACAGGCUGGGAGUGGGGCACAGACUACAGCCACCGGUCUUUCUCUCUGGGAAGAAACUAACUUGACAGCUAUGCAGGAAUCUCCCAUUUCCCUACCCAAAUGCACUUUCCAUCCUUCUGUACUGGUCUUCGUGCCUGAAAAAGUUGACCAAUAUGAACACAUCAGUAACUUCCUUUUGCCAUCUGGUUUCUAGCAGGGCUUGAACAAUGGCAAAGAGUUGAAGGGGCGGGGAUGUUUAUUCCGCUGGGACCUCUCCUGGGGAGAGGGAGUAUUACCAGUGGUAGGCUGAAUUCCUCAACCAAAGGUUACAGCUCCUUCCAAGGAGUCUUCUCCAUCCUGGCACCUUCAACUGUCUCCAGUAUCUGCUCCCUCUCCUUGGCCAAGGAUGGUGACAGCCACCCCUAUUACUACCUCUGAGAAAUUAAUUUUCUUUCUUUUUUUUUUUUUUUUAUUUUUUUUGAGACAGAGUUUUGCUCUUGUUGCCUGGGCUGGAGUGCAAUAGCGUGAUCUUGGCUCACUGCAACCUCUGCCUCCCGGGUUCAAGUGAUUCUCCAGCCUCAGCCUCCCGAGGAGCUGAGAUUACAGAUGCCUGUCACCAUGCCCAGCUAAGUUUUUGUAUUUUUAGUAGAGACGGGGUUUCACCAUGUUGGCCAGACUGGUCUCAAACUCCUGACCUCAGGUGAUCCACCAGCCUCGGCCUCCCAAACUGCUGGUAUUACAGGCGUGACCCACAGCACCAGACCAGAAAUUCGCUCUCUUUUAUGUUUCCCUACACCUUGACCACCCCCCCUUUAUAAAAUAGCCCCUUUGUUAUUAAAAUUUCUUGAAAUUACUCAAUUUGGGUUUGUUACCUCUUUCCCACUGGGACUACCAUGGAUACAGAAGGGACAUGACGAGACCUGUGGUUUCACCGGAAUCAUGUUGUAAGCAGCAAAGCCCACAGGGCUGAUUCACUGUUUAAACAGCAAGGUGGGAAAGUCCUGCUGGAAAUUUUUGGAGAGCACAUUUUUUAAAAGUUGACAAGUUCAUCAGCCCAAGAAGAAAAGGACACAGAGAGUUUGGGCCGACAUAUCGCAACUCUCAUUAGCGCGAAAUGAAUUCACGUUACUCUGCCUCUGAACAUGGAGGGCCCUGUACAGAAACAAAGACAUAUGCACCAUCAUGCAAAAAAGCCACUUGAAACAUGAGGGAGCAUAGAGGAAAGUCCUUGAAGAGGUCUUUUCCAAUUUUUCUCAACCCACAUAUUUUAUAGGAAAGCUUUAAACUCUCACUAAAACAAUGGAUUAAAAAAUGAGAAACCCUCCUUCCAGUUUCACAAUCCAUUUGUCUCAUCCUCUCGAGAGUUGCUAGAAAAAAGAAAAAAGGACAAAAUACGUGGCAGGAGCUCCAGCAUGAACAAACUUGAAAAAUCCUGCCUUUGCUAGGAAAAUAUUCUUAAAUUUUCAAACACAUUCCAACCUACCCGAUACAAGGU
rnacentral:lncRNA from 10 species